rnacentral:rRNA from 1 species
CAGUAGCCGCGGUAAUCCGUAGGUGGCAAGCGUUGUCCGGAAUUAUUGGGCGUAAAGGGCUCGCAGGCGGUUUCUUAAGUCUGAUGUGAAAGCCCCCGGCUCAACCGGGGAGGGUCAUUGGAAACUGGGAAACUUGAGUGCAGAAGAGGAGAGUGGAAUUCCACGUGUAGCGGUGAAAUGCGUAGAGAUGCGGAGGGACACCAGUGGCGAAGGCGACUCUCUGGUCUGUAAUUGACGCUGAGGAGCGAAAGCGUGGGGAGCGAACAGGAUUAGAUACCCCGGUAGUCCCUGUCUCUUAUAC